UAGGGAAUAUUGCGCAAUGGGCGAAAGCCUGACGCAGCAACGCCGCGUGAGUGAUGAAGGCCUUCGGGUUGUAAAACUCUGUCAGAUGGGAAGAACCUUGACCGAUUCAUAAGAUCGGACAACUGACGGUACCAUCAGAGGAAGCUCCGGCUAACUCCGUGCCAGCAGCCGCGGUAAUACGGAGGGAGCUAGCGUUGUUCGGAAUUACUGGGCGUAAAGGGGGCGUAGGCGGUUGUGUAAGUCAGAUGUGAAAACCAUCGGCUUAACCGAUUGGAUGGCAGUGGAUACUGCAUAACUUGGGUUCAGUAGAGGAGAGUGGAAUUCCCAGUGUAGCGGUGGAAUGCGUAGAUAUUGGGAAGAACACCAGUGGCGAAGGCGGCUCUCUGGACUGACACUGACGCUGAGGCGCGAAAGCUAGGGGAGCGAACA
rnacentral:rRNA from 1 species